UACGUAGGUGGCGAGCGUUAUCCGGAUUUACUGGGCGUAAAGGGAGCGUAGGCGGGCUUUUAAGUGAGAUGUGAAAUACUCGGGCUCAACUUGAGUGCUGCAUUUCAAACUGGAAGUCUAGAGUGCAGGAGAGGAGAAUGGAAUUCCUAGUGUAGCGGUGAAAUGCGUAGAGAUUAGGAAGAACACCAGUGGCGAAGGCGAUUCUCUGGACUGUAACUGACGCCGAGGCUCGAAAGCGUGGGGAGCAAACAGG
rnacentral:rRNA from 1 species